GUUUCAGGGUUGGGUGUAAUUCCCUACCGGCGGUAACUGAUGUGCGCAGGCGCGCUGAGGCGCAGCGGCAUCAGAAGCCCGCGACCCGCGUAAGCGGCUGACCCGGUGAGAGUCCGGGGCCGACGGUACAGUCCGGAUGGAAGAAA
rnacentral:ncRNA from 1 species